GCGGGAAAAAAGUUCGGCGGGA
rnacentral:siRNA from 1 species